UAUAGCUCAGUUGGUAGAGUGCUUGCCUUGCAUGCCGAAGGCUCUGGGUUCAAUCCCCAGUA
rnacentral:tRNA from 1 species